rnacentral:rRNA from 1 species
UACGUAGGUGACUAGCGUUGUCCGGAUUUACUGGGCGUAAAGAGCGCGCAGGCGGUCGUUCAAGUCGCGUGUGAAAGCCCCCGGCUCAACUGGGGAGGGUCACGCGAUACUGAUCGACUCGAAGGCAGGAGAGGGAAGUGGAAUUCCCGGUGUAGUGGUGAAAUUCGUAGAUAUCGGGAGGAACACCGGUGGCGAAGGCGGCGACCUGGGUAGAUACUGACGCUGAGGCGCGAAAGCGUGGGGAGCAAACAGG